CAGGCGCUUUGGUGCUAGGGAGAGCAAGAGGACAAAUACAGGGACAAUGCUGUAGUGAGAAAAACAAGGAAAGGACCCGGCCCAGUAGAGAGAAUUGUUCAACUAUGAAACCAGUGACUGAGCCGUCCUGCAGAAUCACCACGAAAGUUGUGUGAAAUGAUGGUGUGAUCGGGCAAAGGGGACUUAGGCGACUGUUUACUGAGAAUAGCGGUUGAGAUGCAAAAUGUUAAAGCUUUAUAACCACUCACACCAAUUGCCACCUUCACAUCUCAAACCAGACACAGUAAAUACCCGGACUUGAGUUCUCCAGGAGCAUUUUUCUGACGUCGCCUGGCUGUACGUUUUUAUUUUGUUCAGUGGAAAUAUUUUUUCAUGUAUGUGUGUGGACAGGGAAAUUGACAUGUGCCAAUAAAAAUCUAAACCUCCCAAGCCCACUUACAGACAAGAGGCUGUUUGAAUUUACUGCAUAAAGACUGAGUAUAUUUCACUGCAAGCAACAUAAAAGAUCUUUAAAAAAAAAAAACUUCAUAAACUCCAGAAGAGGUGCUGGGAAGCAGAGAG